ACGGAGGCAGCAGUGAGGAAUAUUGGUCAAUGGGCGGAAGCCUGAACCAGCCAAGUCGCGUGAAGGAUGAAGGUAUUAUGUAUUGUAAACUUCUUUAGACGCAGAGAAAUAAGGGGGUCGUGACCUCUGAUGCUAGUAUGCGUAGAAUAAGGAUCGGCUAACUCCGUGCCAGCAGCCGCGGUAAUACGGAGGAUCCGAGCGUUAUCCGGAUUUAUUGGGUUUAAAGGGUGCGCAGGCGGCUUUUUAAGUCAGUGGUCAAAUCGUGGAGCUUAACUCCAUCCCGCCAUUGAUACUGGAGAGCUUGAUUGCGGUUGAGGUUGGCGGAAUUCGCCGUGUAGCGGUGAAAUGCAUAGAUAUGGCGAAGAACUCCGAUUGCGUAGGCAGCUGACCAAGCCGUAAAUGACGCUCAUGCACGAAAGUGCGGGGAUCGAACAGGAUUAGAUACCCUGGUA
rnacentral:rRNA from 1 species